CACUGGACUGUGAGUACAGCCUGUGAGUGAUCAGUUACUGAGCUGGGCCGAAAUAACUUAUUAUCCCACUGCAGCUUCUUCCAGGCAUAAGGACCCCAAGUGACCUUUCAGUCGAGAGGGAGCAGUAUCCCACUCUUGUCUCUGUUGGCCUUUCUGUUCCUUUCUGUACCAUAAUGAGUAACUGCUUUGGCUACAUGUGGCUGAGUAGGGUAACACCUGCCUCAGUUUGCAGAGAAAAUCCCAGCUACUGCAAUAUUUACAGUGUUCUCUGCAUCUAUACUAAGUAAAAAUCAUUGCCCAUGUGACAAAAGAAAUGCAGUGAAACCUUUUAAAAAUAUGUAUUAGAAGAUAUUGGAUGAUUUAGGACUGUUGUUGAAACCUGCAAGUAUGAAGGGUAUGGUGGAUUUUGAAGAAUGAGGUUAUUACAUUAGCUUCUUGGCUACUUUGUUGCUCUGGUGGACAGUUUUUGGGAGUUUGUUUUUUUAAAAAGAUAACUUCAGUGGAAUAAGUGGAGAGGGAAAUAGGUAAAAUUCCUUUGGAUGUGAUUUUCCUCCUUGUUUUUAUUACAAAACAUUGGCUUUGUGUGCGAGCGGGAGCUAUUAGAAAUAAUUGAAAAAAAAUUUCCUACGGGGAGACACCGGCCUGCCUGCAGCUCAGGGUGAAGUCAACCUCCCGCUGCUUGCACCGAGGUUCCUUGGCCCUGCCAAGUGUCACGCAAUGCACCUGUGGUUUAUCAGGCAUAACCACGCAGCACUGAAGAUGUUUUUGUGUGUGCACAUGGAAAUUUUGAGGGAGAUCAGGCAAGACUUCUAGAGAUAGGGAAGCUCCAGAAAAUGAAGUGAUCUCACUACAUCUGUGUUUCCUUUAGUGUUUUCUGACUCAUGAUAACCAAAAGAGUGCUCCUGGAAAUGACAGAUUGCUUCUUAUCUAUUGAUUUUGGCUGGGGCUGGUAUCUGUGACUAGAUGACGUGGAAGGUGGAAGGUUGUUUACUGAACAAAUGGGACUUGGCCGACAUCUUUGUGGGAGGAGGUCAGAGCCUCCCUAGUGGCGUCAUGUGAGCUGUUUGGGUAUUGGGAUCUGCCGCAGGUACCUGUUUGGCACUGGCUGUACAUCUCGUCUCUUCCCCUACUCCCAAAGAAAGGACGGAUCAGACAAAAUUACUCUUGAGAAAUGUGGCGGAGUCGUGUGUGUGACUGCUACAGCUCGCUGCCUCCUGGUAGUGAGUCCAGCUGGAUUAAUACUAUCAGAUACCAUCACCAUAAGGCAAGCCUGCCCUAAAGCAUAAGUCAAGUGGCGCCAUCACAGGAAAAAGAAGUAAGACAUCUGUGGAUGGGGACUCAACCACCUCUGUGAGCAGCCUGUGCCAGUGCUGAUAACCCUUUCGGUGAAAAAUUUUUUCCUAAUGUUCAAUCUGAACCUUCUCUGGGACAACUCCAUCUCAUCCUAUUACCUGUCACUUUGGAGAAGAGACCAACACUCACCUCUCUACAAUCUCCUUUCAGUCUCCUCAGGACAUCUAGCUUUUAAUGAAAAAUACCAUAUCUGAAAAUUGGCAUGACUCUAAGAAGAGCUUUAUUUUCCUCCUCACCACCACUAUGCUUGUGGCUUUCUCUUCAUUAUUGGUAGAACCAAGUAGCUACAGCCGUAGAAGAGCCAUUUUGGACCUGGCUGCAUCUUGCAACACCUCCUUCUUCCAAGUGAUUCUGUGCUUAACCACUGGACUUGUACCCUGGCAACACGUGUCCCUGAUUUGCUGUGACAAGGAUGGGAACAACAUUCAAAGGACUUUGCAUAUGGAAAACUGCCUGAAUCUCAUGGCUGAAGAUGAAUGAGCAGUGGAAGAAACAGGUGCUAGCAUGUGCACUGCAAAAGAAAAAGUAAUGAAGAGUAUCUGAAUGCUUUCCAUUCCCCAUAACCAGUUCAGGGGGACAUGUGUGACACUGAGCUAGGAUGCUGGAUGCAAACAGUGCACAGGAAAGGAAGCUAAACGGGAACAUGGCAAGUUCGGCAUAACAGCAAUAGUGUGGUGCUUGUGUUGGUUAUGCUAUGUUCAGUGGUAAUAUGGCAGCCUAUUUUUUCAUUCAGCUACCUUGCAAAGUCUAUCUGAACAGGCUUGUUUUUCUUCUACUCCAUAUCUGACUCAGACUAUCUGACAGAAUAGUCAAAUAAUAGGAAAAAAACGCAAUGAAACCAUUUGAGAAAUGUUCAUCUAAAUUCUCUUACUAUCUUUAGGCUUCUUUGCUCAAGUUCUAAACAAUGAAUGUGUUUGGCGAACGUGUUCUUUGUAGCAGUCAGUUCCAGCUGAAAGCAGUCUUUUAAACCUGUAAUAGCAGCUUCUGGCCCCUCAAAUGAGAGGCUAAGCAUUCCCUUACUGAGUCAAAAAGAAAGAUCUUUGAAAUAAAUGUAUGCCAUAAGCUCAUAUUUUGAAUGCCAAGUAUCAGAAACAACUAACAGUGAGCAUGCUGAAGACCAAACCCUACUUAAAUAAAAUUCUAAUUACAAAAACUUUAUCAGUAGGAGAUGACAAUUUAUGAAGGGGAAAAACUAUCUUUCACCUUUUUCUAGCUAGGAUUUUUUCAUUAUCAGUAUUCAUAUUUUGUCAUAGUGUUUACACAGAAUGUGUAGAAAAACGUUUGGAAAUAAGCAUUCAGAUCAUUCAAGCUGCUUUGAACACUUCUCCUUUCCCCAUAGGACACAAGACGCAGGCCAUUGUAUCCUUUCACUUAAGCAAAGAUAAACCUCCAGUCAAACUUAGAUUAAUUAGUGAACUGAAGCUGGUUAAUUCUGCAGUCGUUCUCAAAACCAAUGUAACAACCAUGUGGUUAAAAACUUAAUUCACUUUGUGUGCUAAUGAUGUUAACAAAAAGUAGUUUGAAAAUGGAAUAUGAACUCCCAUACCUGGCUGCUUUUCCAAACUAGGUUAUUCCUACAGUUUUUUUUCCUGUAACACUAGUCUAUCCCUAACUCUUUUUCCCACCUCUCCUUUGCUCAGUCUAGAGUCUAAAGAGAAAAAUGUUUGCUUUGUUAAUGGAAGUUACCUUUAGAUGACACCCUAACAACUGUAGUCUGAGUUAGCCAACAAGAGGAUCCUGGCAUGAUUGUACAGGAAAGUUAGGGCAAUGAAAAGUGAUGUAGUUAAUUCUAUAUACAUUUUUUUUUCUUCCCCCUGCAGAUCACUCUGGAGUGCAGUGUUUGCUAAACCUGAAUUAUGUGUUUCCAUUACUAUCCAGUAUCAUUAAACUGUGUGCUUGAGGGAUAGCCUGAUAAAGCAGAUAUUCCCUAAUGAACAAUCCACUGUUCUGCAACAUGUAGCUGUCCUGUGACACUUAGACAAACAAACACGCCCCAAAAAACAUGUUUGGUAGAGCUGGUGUCAGAGAAAAAUAUAAAAGCAAGCUCCUGAACUGUAUUGUCUCAUUUUAUUUCCACUGAGGUUCUCUUCUUACCUCAAUCAAUAGCGAGGGAGCAAGACUGGAUCCCAAAUGGCUCCUUUACUGUAUCACCCAAAUGGAUUGUCCAAGUUGCUAUGCGAGCAGCAAAACCAAUGAAUUUUGAUUUGUUCUGGAUUUGAAUUCUUUGCUUUCCUGAGGCCAAGCUGAAUGACUAACAGAUGAAUCUUGUUAGCCUCUCAAUCUUGUGAGGACGCCAAAUUGUGUCUCUACCCACUCCUUGCCCGUUGAUUUUCAGGAACUUGUGCAAGGAUAUAAUAUUCUUUUAGACUCUAGACUUCUCUCAAGAUGAGUUUCAAAUUGCCUAACAAGCUCAAAAGUUAUGUGGGGGAUGAGGGGGAGGAAUAGAAGGAUAGACAAGAAAACAUCAUAGUGAGAUAAAUAUUGCUUUCUAAAAAAACCCCAAAGAACCCACAAACGAUAAAAAGAAAUGUAAGCCAUACAUAUGGCACUUCUCAAGAAUAAGAUUGUCUACAACAGCAUUAGGGACUUCUUGGAUACAGAGUCCUCCAAUCCAUGCAGAAAGCUGAAAACACUAGGGACAGUAUCUGGUAUCGGCAAGCACACACACAUAGCUAAGGUAGUAUACAAACUAUCAGCCUCCUUUAGCAUUUUUGGUGGGAUGGUGAGGAAUUACAGAUCUUGCUGCUGGAAAUGUGUGUAUACCGUUUUGAAUCACACCUACAUGUAGAAGCAUUCCAGAUCUAUAGAGGUGCCAAAAUUUUUGCUAUCUAGCCUAAAGGAUGUAACUUUUAACUUUUCUUUCUAAAGUAACCUUUCGGUUUAGCUUGCUUAUACUAUAUGGUGAUUUAGCACUUUUUUUAAAAAAUGCGUUUUUUAACACAUUGAUGUAAUUACAAAAUUAUAUUUGUAUCAUUUAUUCCUUUAAACCUCUCCACUGAACUGAAAUACUUAGCAUUUCUACAGCCAACCAUAUGAUCACUUCAACAUGCAUAUAUAAGAGGGUUACUGCAAUAAAUCAGAUGACUUGUUGGAUAUUUUUCCCUUUGCUUCUGUUUCAAAAUAAAUUCCUAGUGACUUUGACGAGGUGACAGUAUAUGUUUGCAAAUGCAGUGGAUGGAGCAAACAGCUGUUCUAUUAAUACAUUUUUAAAGAGGCUACUUCAGGUAAGGAUUAUUUUGGUUCUGAUUCCACCUCUACAAGGUAGGAAACCCGUGCCUUGAGGUAGAGGAGAUGAGUGAGUAAACGCAGGGUUUCUUGUGUCAAAAGAUAAAGUGCUAACUCAAAAUCUUCCAACUGUGGGAAUGUAUUUAGGGGAACAAGAGAUGUUCAGAGUCAAACGCUGCCAGUAAGUUGCUUGUAGAAUCUAGUCUACUCCUCUGCUUUACAGAGGUGCUGGACUGUGACUUCCCUAAACCAUGCUUACCCAGGUCAAAAAGCAGAAAUUAAGUGAAAAGUCAGAACUGCAAGGGAAAGAUUUUGAACUCAUCAAGGGCCUUAAUUCUGACAAAAUAGUUGCAUUUCAUGACUUACUACAACCUUUUCUUCUUUUCCUUUUGGUGUUUAUAUAUGAAUAUGUUAUGGUUGCCUCUGGGCAAAUAAGCCCGCUGUAGAUAUAUAGUGAUACCAGUAGAAUUGGUGCCUAUCCUCUCCCUUUCUGCUACUGUAAGUAUGUAACCAUGAGGACACUGUAGGGAAUUAGACCCUCUCAGUUCCAGUUUCAUACCAGGGGAAGCUGGUAUAAUGCUACCUGUCUCGCAGGAAUAAAGCACAGUAGGUGUUCAUUAUGUUUGCAAUGAACUUUGAGAUCUGGAAGAAAGUAAAUACUAAGGGUUAUUGAUCAGCUAAAGGCUGAUUCUUUCUGGAGUUUCAACACCUACAGCCUUAUUCAGCUGAAUACAGGACAGCAACACAAAUUAAUUCUGUUGCUUUUUGCCUUUGUUGUGGAUGUAAUGUCAUCAAGAGAAGUGAUUGUCUUUUCUUUUUUAGUUGGGUACCUGAGAAAACAUCCUGAAUGUGGAUGAGAAGUGAUUAUGAGCAGGACUACAAACAAGUCUGCUAGCUCAGUUAGUGUUUAUUUCUUGAUAUGAUACUAUUAGUGCACUUUUAGCCAUUCAUCUUCUGUUUUCCCAAGAUGUGACUCACUGAAGUAUGUUUCCUAGCUGUACUUCAGUCUUUGUGGUGCAAACUAGAAACAGAACAUGUCUGGAGUUUACUUCAAAUUUCAGCUUGUAAACAUUGUGCAAAGACCCCACGUAAACAACUUAAUUGAGUUAGCAUUUAAAAUCACCACAGAUUUAUCCUAUUGUAAAUCUAAGAUUAUACAGCUGCCAAUAAACCAGUCUGAGUGAUGAGCAGAGCAAAAUGAAGCCUGAACAUAAACAUAUAAAUGCAUGCUAACAUUUUCAAAGUUUCACAUCCAUAGAAAACUGUGAAUAGCAUCCCAACAAAUGAUGUGAAAACCAUUGUCUAAUCUGUACCUAUCGCCUUAUGAAGAAGACAUUUGCCUAUCCUUAGGGAGCAUUUGUCAAUGUGGGAGCUGUGAUCUCCUAUUUUUGGCUACUUCUAUAACAGGAAAUUACCUGAGUAUCUGGUAAUACAGUAUUCUGUUCUAAGAGCAAAAAGACUUGUCCUCACUUUCAAGCGUGGGUUGUAACUGUGACAAGUUUGUGAAUCGCUUUGGUACUUGAUGGAGGCCUAGAUGAUGUUGUUUAGAACAUAAAGCCCUCUAGCUCAGACGCUGCUUUCUUAUUAUACAUUUAAAGUGGCAUAAAGAAGCAUUGAUCCAUGAGUGAAGAGUCAAGUUUACUGGCUUUGAAAUAUUUCCUAGAAUUUCAUGUAUUAAAUUAUCUUCUUUGUGGAAUAUAGUACAUGUAUGUAUAUGCACAGAAAGUAUGUAUGCUACUUCUGUUGCCUCUUACAAUUAU